UAUAUGUGUGUGUGUGUGUGUGUAUGUACACACACACACACACACACACACACACACACACACACACACACACAUAUA
rnacentral:miRNA from 1 species